rnacentral:rRNA from 1 species
UACAGAGGUGGCAAGCGUUGUUCGGAAUUACUGGGCGUAAAGGGCGCGUAGGCGGUCUUUUAAGUCUCGUGUGAAAUCCCUCGGCUCAACUGAGGAACUGCACGGGAUACUGGAUGACUUGAGUUCGGGAGAGGGAAGCGGAAUUCCGGGUGUAGCGGUGAAAUGCGUAGAUAUCUGGAGGAACACCGGUGGCGAAGGCGGCAUCCUGGACCGGCAUUGACGCUGAGGCGCGAAAGCCAGGGGAGCAAACGGG